rnacentral:rRNA from 1 species
UACGUAGGGGGCUAGCGUUGUCCGGAUUUAUUGGGCGUAAAGAGCGUGUAGGCGGCCAGGUAGGUCUGCUGUGAAAACUCGAGGCUCAACCUCGAGACGUCGGCGGAAACCAUCUGGCUAGAGUCCGGAAGAGGAGAGUGGAAUUCCUGGUGUAGCGGUGAAAUGCGCAGAUAUCAGGAGGAACACCAGCGGCGAAGGCGGCGCUCUGGGCCGGUACUGACGCUGAGGAGCGAAAGCGUGGGUAGCAAAAGGG